rnacentral:rRNA from 1 species
GUGGGGAAUAUUGGACAAUGGGCGAAAGCCUGAUCCAGCCAUGCCGCGUGUGUGAAGAAGGUCUUCGGAUUGUAAAGCACUUUAAGUUGGGAGGAAGGGCAGUAAGUUAAUACCUUGCUGUUUUGACGUUACCAACAGAAUAAGCACCGGCUAACUUCGUGCCAGCAGCCGCGGUAAUACGAAGGGUGCAAGCGUUAAUCGGAAUUACUGGGCGUAAAGCGCGCGUAGGUGGUUCAGCAAGUUGGAGGUUAAAUCCCCGGGCUCAACCUGGGAACUGCCUCCAAAACUACUGAGCUAGAGUACGGUAGAGGGUAGUGGAAUUUCCUGUGUAGCGGUGAAAUGCGUAGAUAUAGGAAGGAACACCAGUGGCGAAGGCGACUACCUGGACUGAUACUGACACUGAGGUGCGAAAGCGUGGGGAGCAAACAGGAUUAGAAACCCUGGUAGUCC